GUCCCCGUUGCACAGUGGUUAGUGCGUGACUCUUAUAAUGUCAAGGUCCGGGGUUCGAACCCCCGCGGGAACA
rnacentral:tRNA from 1 species